GGACUACUAGGGUAUCUAAUCCUGUUUGCUCCCCACGCUCUCGCGCCUCAGCGUCAGUUUCAGUCCAGGUAGCCGCCUUCGCCACUGGUGUUCCUUCCGAUAUCUACGCAUUUCACCGCUACACCGGAAAUUCCACUACCCUCUACUGUACUCUAGUCUGACAGUCUGAGCUGCAGUUCCCAGGUUAAGCCCGGGGAUUUCACAGCUCUCUUAUCUAACCGCCUACGCGCCCUUUACGCCCAGUAAUUCCGAUUAACGCUCGCACCCUCUGUAUUACCGCGGCUGCUGGCAC
rnacentral:rRNA from 1 species